rnacentral:rRNA from 1 species
GACGAACGCUGGCGGCGUGCUUAACACAUGCAAGUCGAACGGAAAGGCCCUGCUUUUGUGGGGUGCUCGAGUGGCGAACGGGUGAGUAACACGUGAGUAACCUGCCCCUGACUGUGGGAUAACCUCAGGAAACUGGGGCUAAUACCGGAUAGGAGCUCUUGCUGCUUGGUGGGGGUUGGAAAGAUUCGGCGGUUGGGGAUGGACUCGCGGCCCAUCAGCUUGUUGGUGGGGUAGUGGCUUAGCAAGGCCUUGACGGGUAGCCGGCCUGAGAGGGUGAGCGGCCACACUGGGACUGGGCUACGGCCCAGCCUCCUACGGGAGGCAGCAGUGGGGUAUAUUGCACUAUGGGCGGAACCCUGAUGCAGCAACGCAGCGUGCGGGAUGACGGCCAUCGGGUUGUAAACCGCUUUCGCCUGUGCCGAAGCGUGAGUGACGGUAAUGGGUAAAGAAGCACCGGCUAACUACGUG